rnacentral:lncRNA from 1 species
GUUCUCUCUUGCUUCUAUUGGUUUAGUCUGUUUACUCUUCUGGUGCGCGUCCCUGACACCUGGGCCGGGAGGCCUGCUGAGGAAUGCUUCCUUCCCGGGUUUCCAGGGGCACGGCUAUUUGUCAUGCCUCAGAAGCUGCUGCUACAGGUCACACUGUGUGGAGGGAGAGCCCAGGGAAGAAGUCACCACUGUCACCUGAGGUCCGAUCCCUCAACGCCUCAACAAUGGAUUGCUGAUGCAUGCACCAGGGCCCCCUCUGUGUUUUUUAGGAGACACGGCUGUGCAACACGAUGACUCUCUCCACUCCCCCGGCCUGGCUUGUUUCUACGGCAGAAGUCCAUGUGGGGUCCAGAGCUGCUGCACCUGCCGACUGUGAUGGACAGAUGUGGGGCAGGCAUCAUGACUCUUCCCAGGACAAACGCGCAGUCUUAUGUAUGUCAUGGAGACGUUUGUCCCUGGAGUCUUGAGAUCGGAGUUGAGAAGCAUGACUUCUUGAAGAAUCUGGAGGGAGCAGAAGUGAGAUUUGGAGUCCUGCGCUCUCAUCAUGAAGAGACUUCCAGGAGUUCCUCGGCCUCCCUGGGUGUUCUCCAGGUCACACGGCUCCUGGGUCCGGCCCAGCAACAUGUCCUCUGUCUUAGCCAUGACGCGUGCAUGUGGCUUCUCUCAGGAUUCCCCGAAGCCUGCUGUGAGAGCUCAGGACAGAUUCCCAUGUGGAAUAUGGGGUGUAGGCCAAACUACUUGGAACACUGA